ACCAGGAAGUCAAGGUUUGUUGCUCAGAAUUGUGCUUCGUCACCAGCCCCCCCUCGUCACCGCCAUCCCUGCCAGGGUCCCCGCGCCUGCUCCCCGGGCCCCCGAAGAGGAACCAGCGGCAUGAUGUCACACACCUGUUUGGCUGGGGGCUGCGGCCCGGCGACGCUCGCAGCCGUGGGUGUCGCGUUGGCACUCUCGCCCACCCGCCAACCCCCCCCUCCCUGCUACGCCCUGUGGAUGUGUCAAAAUGGCAGAUGACGGCCGGGGUGUGUGCAGCUGCUUGGGAGGAGGAGAGCCAAGGGCGCUCGUUUCCUGCGGUCCUAAAUGGCUGUCAAAGUGUCCCAACUUGUCGGAAUACCUACUCAGCCCUCUACUUUCCAGCCUUCCUCAGACCUACCCCCGACGCACACCAGGGGACACCGCCAUCCCACCACCUCAGGUGGGAUGGAACAAUCCAUAUAACACGUCACAGAUGACGUCACACUAACAUCACGUGACACCUCUGAGGAAGGCUGCAGAAGCAAGAUAGCCGAAACUUGUCAGGAAACCCUUGGAAGGCAAAAGCAACAUCCUGAGUUGGUGAGGAGACAGCAGAGGUGCUGACACGCCGACAGGCAGGGGAUCCUGGGAAAAGCCACAGACAGGAAGAGCCUGACUGACUUUGACCCCCGAGGUCAAGGCUGGGGGCUCGGCAACUGAAAGAUGUUUCCAAGCCACACUCGCGCUAUCGUCAAGUUGUUUUUUUUCGCAGGAAACAACUUCCAAAUGCUGUGAAAUAUGCAAGGAGACAUUUUUUUAUUUUUUUUUAUCAUUGUUUUAUCGCCCGCUCUUUUGUUUUGCUCGCCGUGACACGAGAUGCGAUUUGGCCCUGAGCUAUAUUUGACUUAUUUGUGCAAGGUCACUGUAUGUAAUUGCGUAGAGCUUAAGUCCACAGCCCGUUUCUAACAUUUGAAAAUAACUACUUUCUUCACUGUGACUAAUAGAAUUAGCAUGUGGAGGCUAAAACUACACAAACACUAUAAUUACAUCAGGGGGAGUACAUGGAGGAGAGCAAAUAUAAUUAGGUGAUAAUGACAAGACAUUUGUAAACUUAGAAAACAAAAUAGUCGUAACAUGACAGGAAUACAUCUGUAAUGUUCCGAAAAACAGUCCUAAUAUGAGAAAAGUCGUAUCAUAUUGUGCAAUUUAACACCAAGAGAAUGAAGUCUAAUUUUCCAAGCUAAAAGGUUCAAUUGUCGCAAUAUUACAAGAAAUAUAUUAUGAUAAUAAACAUGACAUUCUUAGGAAAACAAGUAAGGAUAUGCCAGUAUAAUGAAGAAAUAAGGGAAAACAAUGAUGAACAAUGUCAUAACCCUGUGUGAAAAAAGUCAUACACUUGGAGUCCAAUCUAAUUUAUAAGUAAAACAUGUAAGUGAAGCAUUACAAUUGCAAAACAGUCGCAAUGUUACGAUAAAAGAAAAAAAAAAUCACAAUAUGAGGAAAAAGCGGUACUGUUUGGAAAAUGGAAUUAUUUUAUAAGUCAAAAAUAUAUCAUAAUAAUGUGGUAAGGUUGCAAGACAAAACUGUUGAGUUGCAAGAAAGGAAAAUGUCCUCCUGUUAAGAAAGGAAAGCCAUAAUUAUUAUGAGCAAAAAAAGUCAUACUAUGGCAAGAAAGUAGUAUAAUAGUGAGACCAGCUAUGAUUGUAGGAUUAAAAAAGUCAAACUAUUACUAGGAAAAAGGUUGUACUUUUAAGGAUCGUCAUUGUGUGAGAUAAUGUUACAUGAAUAAUGGCAAUGUUGCAGUAAAAAUAGUAAUAUGGAAAUAAAGUAGUACAAUUUCGGAGAGUUAGGAUAAUGUCGGAAUAGUCCGGGAAUAAAAUUGUAAUAUUACGAGAAAAAGUCCCAAUAUGAGAAUAGUCGUAUCAUUCUGUGCGAUUUAACGCCAAGAGAAUGAAGUCUCAUUUUCCAAGCUAAAAGGUUGUAAUGUUCUUUCAUUUGUCGCAAUAUUACAAGAAAUAUAUUACGAUAACAAACAUGACAUUCUGAGGAAAAAAAUGUAAGGCUAUGCCAGUAUAAUGAAGAAAUAAGAGAAAACAAUGAUGAACAAUGUCAUAAUCCUGUAUGAAUAAAGUCGUACACUUAUAGAGUCAAAUCUAAUUUUACAAAUACAAUUUGAGAAUGAAACAUAACAAUUGCAAGACAGUCGCAAUGUCACGAUAAAAGACAAAGUCAAAAAUAUCAUAAUAAUGUUGUAAGGUUCCAAGAAUGAAGGAAUAAUCAAAGGAAAAGAAGAGAAGAAAGCCAUGAUUAUUAUGAGCAAAAAAGUCAUACCAUGAGAAGAAAGAAGUAUAAUAGUGCGACCAGCUAUGAUUGUAGGAUUAAAAAAGUCGAACUAAUACUAGGAAAAAGAUUGUACUGUUAAGGAUCGUCAUUGUAUGAGAUAAUGUUACACGAAUAAAGGCUAAGUCGUACACUUAGGGUCAAAUCUAAUUUUACAAGUAACAUUUGAGAAUGAAGCAUUACAAUUGCAAGACAGUUGCAAUGUCACGAUAAAAGAAAAAAAAAAAAACGGUACAGUUUGGAAAUGUAAUCAUUUUACAAGUCAAAAAUAUAUCAUAAUAAUGUGGUAAGGUUGCAAGACCACAUUGUUGAGUUGCAAGAAUGAAGGAAUAAUCAAAGGAAAAUGUCCUCCUGUUAGAGAAGAAAGCCAUUAUUAUUAUGAGCAAAAAAAGUCAUACAAUGGGAAGAAAGUAGUAUAUUAGGAUUAAAAAAGUCAAACUAUUACUAGGAAAAAGAUCGUACUGUUAAAGAUCGUCAUUGUGUGAGAUAAUGUUACACGAAUAAAGGCUAAUGUUGCAGUAGAAAUAGUAAUAGGGAAAUAAAGUAGUACAAUUCUGGAGAGUUAUGAUAAUGUCGGAAGAGUCCGGGAAUAAAAUUGUAAUAUUACGAGAAAAAGUCCCAAUAUGAGAAUAGUCGUAUCAUUUUGUGCGAUUUAACACCAAGAGAAUGAAGUCUCAUUUUCCAAGUUAAAAGGUUGUAAUGUUUCAAUUGAAAAAGAAAUAUAUUAUGAUAACAAACAUGACAUUCUGAGGAAAAAAAUGUAAGGAUAUGCCAGUAUAAUGAAGAAAUAAGAGAAAACAAUUAUGAACAAUGUCAUAAUCCUGUCAUAAUCAAAUUUAUAAGUAAAAACAAGUCUCAUGACAAUGAAGCAUUACAAUUGCUAGACAGUCGCAAUGUCACCAUUUUCACUGUUUGGAAAAUUUAAUAAUUUUACAAGUCAAAAAUAUAAUAAUAAUGUGGUAAGGUUGCAAGAUAAAACUGUUGAGUUGCAAGAAUGAAGGAAUAAUCAAAGGAAAAGAAGAGAAGAAAGCCAUGAUUAUUAUGAGCAAAACAAGUCAUAUCGUGAGAAGAAAGUAGUAUAAUAGUGAGACCAGCUAUGAUUGUAGGAUUAAAAAAGUCAAACUAAUACUAGGAAAAAUAUUGUACUGUUAAGGAUUGUCAUUGUGUGUGAUAAUGUUACACAAAUAAAGGCUAAUGUUGCAGUAAAAAUAGUAAUAUGGAAAUAAAGUAGUACAAUUUCGGAGAGUUAGGAUAACGCUGGAAUAGUCCAGGAGUAAAAUUGUAGUAUUACGAGAAAAAGUCCUGAUAUGACAAUAGUCGUAUCAUUUUGUGCGAUUUAACACCAAGAGAAUGAAGUCUCAUUUUCCAAGCUAAAACGUUGUAAUGUUGUUUCAAUUGUCGCAAUAUUACAAUAUGUUAUGAUAACAAACAUGACAUUCUGAGGAAAAAAAAGUAAGGAUAUGACAGUGUGAUGAAGAAAUAAGAGAAAACAAUUAUGAACAAUGUCAUAAUCCUGUAUGAAUAAAGUCAUACUCUUAGAGUCAAAUCAAAUGCUACAAGUAAAACAAGUCCUGUGAAAACGAAGCAUUACAAUUGCAAGACAGUCGCAAUGUUACGGUAAAAGAAAACAAAAUCACAAUGUGAGGAAAAAGCAGUACUGUUUGGAAAAUGUUAUCAUUUUACAAGUCAAAAAUAUAUCAUAAUAUUGUGGUAAGGUUGCAAGACAAAACUGUUGAGUUGCAAGAAUGAAGGAAUAAUCUGUUAAGAGAAAAAAGCCAUGAUUAUGAGCGAAAAAAGUCAUGUCAUAUGAGAAGAAAGUAGUAUAAUAGUGAGACCAGCUAUGAUUGUAGGAUUAAAAAUGUCGAACUAUUACUAGGAAAAAGAUCGGACUGUUAAGUAUGAGAUAAUGUUACACGAAUAAUGGCUAAUGUUGCAGUAAAAAUAGUAAUAUGGAAAUAAAGCAGUAAAAUUCCGGAGAGUUAGGAUAAUGCCGGAAUAGUCCGGGAAUAAAAUUGUAAUGUUCCGAGAAAAAGUCCUAAUAUGAGAAUAGUCGUAUCAUUCUGUGCGAUUUAACACCAAGAGAAUGAAGUCUCAUUUUCCAAGCUAAAAGGUUGUAAUGUUGUUUCAAUUGUCGCAAUAUUGCAAGAAAUAUGAUAAUAUACAAGACGUUCUGAGGAAAAAAAGUAAGGAUAUGCCAGUACAAUGAAGAAAUAAGAGAAAACAAUUAUAAACCAUGUCACAAUCCUGUAUGAAAAAAAUCGUACAUUAAGAGUAAAAUCAAAUUUUACAAGUAAAAUUUGAGAAUGAAGCAUUACAAUUACAAGACAGUCGCAAUGUCACGAUAAAAGAAAAAAAAAAAACGGUACAGUUUGCAAAUGUAAUCAUUUUACAAGUCAAAAAUAUAAUGUGGUAAGGUUGCAAGACAAAACUGUUGAGUUGCAAGAAUGAAGGAAUAAUCAAAGGAAAAUGUUCUCCUGUUAAGAGAAGAAAGCCAUGAUCAUUAUGAGCAAAACAAGUCAUACCAUGAGAAGAAAGUAGUAUAAUAGUGCGACCAGCUAUGAUUGUAGGAUUAAAAAAGUCAAAAAUAUUACUAGGAAAAAGAUCGGACUGUUAAGUAUGAGAUAAUGUUACACGAAUAAUGGCUAAUGUUGCAGUAAAAAUAAUAAUAUGGAAAUAAAAUUGUACAAUUCCGGAGAGUUCGGAUAAUGCUGGAAUAUUCCAGGAAUUAAAUUGUAAUAUUACGAGAAAAAGUCCUAAUAUGAGAAUAGUUGUAUCAUUUUGUGCGAUUUAACACCAAGAGAAUGAAGUCUCAUUUUCCAAGCUAUAAUGUUGUAAUGUUUCAAUUGUCGCAAUAUUACAAUAUGUUAUGAUAAUAAACAUGACAUUUUGAGGAAAAAAAGUAAGGAUAUGACAGUAUGAUGAAUAAAUAAGAGAAAACAAUGAUGAACAAUGUCAUAACCCUGUAUGAAAAAAGUCGUACACUUAGAGUCAAAUCUAAUUUUAUAAGUAAAAUUUGAGAAUGAAACAUUACAAUUGCAAGACAGUCGCAAUGUUACGAUAAAAGAAAAAAAAUCACAAUGUGAGGAAAAUGUUAUCAUUUUACAAGUCAAAAAUAUAUCAUAAUAUUGUGGUAAGGUUGCAAGACAAAACUGUUGAGUUGCAAGAAUGAAGGAAUAAUCAAAGGAAAAUGUAUUCCUGUUAAGAGAAGAAAGCCAUGAUUAUUAUGAGAGAAAAAAAGUCAUACCAUGAGAAGAAAGUAGUAUAAUAGUGAGACCAGCUAUGAUUGUAGGAUUAAAAAAGUCCAAAAUAUUACUAGGAAAAAGAUCGUAUUUUUAAGUAUUAGAUAAUGUUACACAAUAAAGGCUAAUGUUGCAGUAAAAAUAGUAAUAUGGAAAUAAAGUAGUACAAUUCCGAGACUUAGGACAAUGCCGGAAUAGUCCGGGAAUAAAAUUGUGACAAGAAAAGUAUCCUAAUAGUUAGUAAGUAAACCUUUGCAAUUCGAACUUUGAAAUUGACUUACAAUAAAUUGCAAAAAUGUCGUUUUAAUUCUGCAGUUAUGUCCAACAUUUGACUUGCAAUAUCUCAAUUGCCAUCAUUCUAUGACUGUGUUAUUUCCGUGCUAUUCAGUGUGGCGCUAACGUCACUCUCUGACAAGUGUUUCGAAUUAGGCAGAUUGGAUCUUUUCUCUCUCUCUCUCUCUCUCUCUCUCUCUCUCUCCGGGUCUCCGCAGGCCUUUUUAGAGUAAAACCCAAAAGAUGGCGAGAGGAGAUUGUGGUGUAGCACAAUGGGCCAUAAAUCAAGGCGUCCAUCGUUUGUCACCCUUCUGUCUCGGCAGCUCCCGGCCCCGGACUCCGCCGCCGUUCCAGUUCUGAGUUUUCACGGCCCGAAACGUAUCCAUCAAGCCCGGGCCGAGCGGCCGCCAGUCGCCCCGGCGAUCGAUGGACGCGAUGUACCCUCCCUCUCAGCCCGUGUGCAGCUCUCCCCGCGUGGGAAGGGGGAGAGGACGAGGCAGGCCGUGAUGGUGGAGAGGCGCCCGUUGACCAGUUGGUGGUGCUCCUGUCACAGAUGCGCCUGUAAAAAGUGUUCGUGACAGUGAGGGGAGACAUCUGACAGCUGCGCUCCUCGAAGGUUCAAAGGUCACGUCAAGUCCUGAACGAGUCUCAAGCUCUCCACCCAGUCAUUACCACGUGGACGGGGCAGCCCUUGAAGCUUCAAAGGCGGGGAAGGAGUGAUUUAAGCCGGGUUCCGGCGUCCCGUGGCCUGGCAGCCCGCUAACAGCCACGGACUUCAGCGACCUCCACGAAGAUAAGACGACAGCACGCAGACGAAGCAGAGACUUCAAGGACCUCAACGAAGAUAAGAUGACAACACGCAGACGAAGCGGGGCGAAAUCACAAGGCCCCCAGCACAUUCCGUCACGUAUCGUGCGUCCUGGACCUGCUUUGCAUAAUAUAUGGACGCAGGAGCUGAACCUUAGAGCGUCGGGCGAGGCUGUGACUAAGUGUGCAGCUCCAUGCGUUCUCCUCAUGAGCUAAAUUGAACUCUGUCUCUGCAUGAUUCCUUGCUUCUUGUCUGAUUAAUAGAUGUCAUCAGUGUUUGAACCUGACACCCACCUGUUCCCAAUUAGCCUGUACACCUGUGGGAUGUUCCAAAUAAGUGUUUGACGAGCAUUCCUCACCUUUCUGUUAGAAUAAUUAUGUAUAUAUUAUCACACUAACUUUAGUAUGCUUGACGUCCGUUGCUUUAGUUAUUUAGCUAUUGUGCUCAAGUUGGACUUUUUCUAAUCUGUGCAAGGACAAAGACCACGCCUCAUGUUAUCUUUGUUUUAGCCCGCUAACAGCCACGGACUUCAGCGACCUCCACGAAGAUAAGAUGACAGCACGCAGACGAAGCGGAGACUUCAAGGACCUCAACGAAGAUAAGAUGCAGACGAAGCGGGGCGAAAUCACAAGGCCCCAGCACAUUCUGUCACGUAUCGUGCGUCCUGGACCUGCUUUGCAUAAUAUAUCCCGCUAACAGCCACGGACUUCAGCGACCUCCACGAAGAUAAGAUGACAGCACGCAGACGAAGCGGAGACUUCAAGGACCUCAACGAAGAUAAGAUGCAGACGAAGCGGGGCGAAAUCACAAGGCCCCCAGCACAUUCCGUCACGUAUCGUGCGUCCUGGACCUGCUUUGCAUAAUAUAUGGACGCAGGAGCUGAACCUUAGAGCGUCGGGCGAGGCUGUGACUAAGUGUGCAGCUCCAUGCGUUCUCCUCAUGAGCGCAAGCUCGUGUGAUUAUUGCCGGGGAACGUGAGAAGUGUUUAAACUUCCAACGCUCGCUCUCACCUCAUCUCAAGCUGUGAAGUAGCUUCCCCGCAAAGUUGAGGCGACUCGGAAAUUGUGCGAGCCGGAACCCGGGUGGCUCCCGACACCUUUGCCGCGUAACCAGGUUGCCCUGCGUGAAGACAAAGCUGUCCUUGUUCUUAUCGAGCAAAGGCGGACAGCUUGUAAGUCUCCACUGUGUGCCACGGAAAGCGCCUCGCCGUAGAAGUGUCUGUGUUUCAGAUCUCGAGGGGCCGUAUCAGGACCCGAAAUCUCCCAAGAAGAUAAGGCAGACGAGCAGAGAAGGGGGCAAACCUGACACCGCUCCAAGCACAUUUUGUUUGAACUGUUUAUGACACGGCGGAAGAGAGGGGUUAGUGUGUCUGCCUCACAAUACGAAGGUCCUGAGUUCAAUCCCGGGCUCGGGAUCUUUCUGGGCGGAGUUUGCAUGUCCUCCCCGUGAAUGCGUGGGUUCCCUCCGGGUACGCCGGCUUCCUCCCACCUCCAAAGACAUGCACCUGGGGAUAGGUUGAUUGGCAACACUAAAUGGUCCCUAGUGUGUGAAUGUGAGUGUGAAUGUUGUCUGUCUAUCUGUGUUGGCGACUUGUCCAGGGUGCACCCCGCCUUCCGCCCGAAUGCAGCUGAGAUAGGCUCCAGCGACCCCCCGCGAGCCCGAAAGGAAUAAGCGGUAGAAAAUGGAUGGAUGGAUGGUUUAAGAAGAAACUGAUCAGCUGACUGUCAGAAUAAUUAUCACACAACUUGUUUGCUUGCAGUUCAGGUUGCCCUGCGCAAAGGCGGACAGCUUGUAAAUCUCCACCGUGUGCGACGGAAUGCACCUCGCCGUAGAAGUUUCUGUGUUUCAGAUUUCGAAGGGGCCGUAUCAGGACCCGGAAUCUCCCAAGAAGAUAAGGCGGACGAGCAGAGAAGGGGGCAAACCUGACACCGCUCCAAGCACAUUUUGUUUGAACUGUUUAUGACC